GGGAAAGUGGCUCAGUGGUAGAGUGCUUGUCUUGCAUGCAUGAGGCUCUGGGUCUGAUUCUCAGUACCA
rnacentral:tRNA from 1 species